rnacentral:sRNA from 1 species
GUUGGGCAUGGUGGGUACAUACUUAUAGUCCCAACUACUUGGGAGGUUGAGGCAAGAGGAUUAUUUUAGCUCAGGAGUUGCAGAGUUCUAGACCAGCCUGGGCAACAUCGUGAGACCCUGUCUCAA